UGAGCAAUCUGCCCUUCUCUUCGGAAUAAGCGUUGGAAACGACGUCUAAUGCCGAAUACGACCUCCUUUCGCAUGAUCGGAGGUGGAAAGCUCCGGCGGAGAAGGAUGAGCUCGCGGCCUAUCAGCUUAGGUUGGUGAGGUAAUGGCUCACCAAGGCGACGGACGGGUAGCCGGCCUGGAGGAGGGUGACCCGGCCACACGUGGGACUGAGACACGGCCAGCUCCGUACGGGAGCAG
rnacentral:rRNA from 1 species